GAUGAACGCUAGCUACAGGCUUAACACAUGCAAGUCGAGGGGUAGCAGGGUAGCAAUACCGCUGACGACCGGCGCACGGGUGAGUAACACGUAUCCAACCUUCCCAUAACUCAGGGAUAGCCUUUCGAAAGAAAGAUUAAUACCUGAUAGUACUUAAGAAAGGCAUCUUUUUUAAGUUAAAGAUUUAUUGGUUAUGGAUGGGGAUGCGUUCCAUUAGAUAGUUGGUGAGGUAACGGCUCACCAAGUCUUCGAUGGUUAGGGGUUCUGAGAGGAAGUUCCCCCACAUUGGUACUGAGACACGGACCAAACUCCUACGGGAGGCAGCAGUGAGGAAUAUUGGUCAAUGGGCGAGAGCCUGAACCGGCCAAGUAGCGUGAAGGAUGAAGGUCCUAUGGAUUGUAAACUUCUUUUAUAGUAGAAUAAAGUGAGCCACGUGUGGUUUUUUGUAUGUAUACUAUGAAUAAGGAUCGGCUAACUCCGUGCCAGCCGCCGCAGUAACAC
rnacentral:rRNA from 1 species